GGAGUCGGGGGCGCGCGGGCCCUGGUUUAUAGGAGCGCGCAUAGCCUAGGAGAGUUCGUGGCCCUGUUGUACUCCAGCCCCAGAGCCAGCGUUGCAAACUCAGCGGGAGGCAGUGCACUGAGAGGAUCCUAAAGGCCACGAGACGCCUGGCACAUCCCAGGAUGCGGCUCAGAGCUAUCUUUCUGUCAAUCUCACUUGCUUUUCUCGCUUUUAGAGGUCCCGAACCACAAGCAAGUGUGGGAUACAUCCCCUCUGCUUCAAGUGGCAGGGACCCCUCGCGGUCACUUCAGAAGAACAGCCAGAGAAGGCCAGGGCCCAGGGCAGAAGCAGGGCAGAUGCAGGCCAGACCAGGGCGCGCUGUCCGGCAGACAGCCAGCUUGGUUUUCCGCAAGCAUCAAGAGACAAGGAAAUCUGUAUGGAUCGCAGGUCUAUUAUAAUUGUUUGGAAACAGCUCCUCCCCUGAAUUGCUUGCUUUGGAAUUAAGUGUAGAACCGCAAUUGAGUGGUAGAAGGUGAAACCGAGGAGAUAAAGGUUGGGAAAAAUGGAGAACCCACGAAGAAGCGAAGACCAGCAACAGUACCUCCCAUGCCCACUCAUGCAGCUAACAGACAUGUUCACAGAUGCACAUAUAUACACAAGCUUGAAUGCAUAGUCAUGCAGUUAACUUAGUCUUACAGUAACACACAUGCAUGUUCUUCAAAUACCCCAUGCAUUGUUAGCCCUUUUGCACACAUGGAAACAGGUGGGCAGUAGCUGUGUCUGCUUAGUUGCUAUUUCAGAUUUCAUUUUUUUCCUCUCUCCCAGGAAUCAUGUGAUUUGUACAUUUCUAUUCAAGUUUUAUGGAUGAGGAAACCUGUCUGCUAUGAAAUAAAUGAUCAAACUGAUCAUUUGCAAAAUGAUCA
rnacentral:lncRNA from 1 species